UGGGGAAUUUUGGACAAUGGGCGAAAGCCUGAUCCAGCAAUGCCGCGUGUGUGAAGAAGGCCUUCGGGUUGUAAAGCACUUUUGUCCGGAAAGAAAUCCUUGGCUCUAAUACAGUCGGGGGAUGACGGUACCGGAAGAAUAAGCACCGGCUAACUGCGUGCCAGCAGCCGCGGUAAUACGUAGGGUGCAAGCGUUAAUCGGAAUUACUGGGCGUAAAGCGUGCGCAGGCGGUUUGCUAAGACCGAUGUGAAAUCCCCGGGCUCAACCUGGGAACUGCAUUGGUGACUGGCAGGCUAGAGUAUGGCAGAGGGGGGUUAGAAUUCCACGUGUAGCAGUGAAAUGCGUAGAGAUGUGGAGGAAUACCGAUGGCGAAGGCAGCCCCCUGGGCCAAUACUGACGCUCAUGCACGAAAGCGUGGGGAGCAAACAGGAUUAGAUACCCUGGUAGUCCACGCCCUAAACGAUGUCAACUAGUUGUUGGGGAUUCAUUUCCUUAGUAACGUAGCUAACGCGUGAAGUUGACCGCCUGGGGAGUACGGUCGCAAGAUUAAAACUCAAAGGAAUUGACGGGGUCAUAGCUGUUUCCU
rnacentral:rRNA from 1 species